GGCUACACACGUGCUACAAUGGGUAGAACAGAGAGUUGCAAAGCUGUGAAGUGGAGCUAAUCUCAGAAAACUAUUCUUAGUUCGGAUUGUACUCUGCAACUCGAGUACAUGAAGUUGGAAUCGCUAGUAAUCGCGAAUCAGCAAUGUCGCNGGUGAAUACGUUCUCGGGUCUUGUACACACCGCCCGUCACACCACGAGAGUUGGUUGCACCUGAAGUAGCAGGCCUAACCGCAAGGAGGGAUGCUCCGAGGGUGUGAUUAGCGAUUGGGGUGAAGUCGUAACAAGGUAUCCGUACGGGAACGU
rnacentral:rRNA from 1 species